rnacentral:rRNA from 1 species
GGGCCCGCACAAGCGGAGGAACAUGUGGUUUAAUUCGAUGAUACGCGAGGAACCUUACCCGGGUUUGAACGCAUUUGGACAGAUGGGGAAACCUGUUUUCUAGCAAUAGCCAUUUGCGAGGUGCUGCAUGGUUGUCGUCAGCUCGUGCCGUGAGGUGUCGGCUUAAGUGCCAUAACGAGCGCAACCCUUACCGUUAGUUGCCAUCAGGUAAAGCUGGGAACUCUAGCGGGACUGCCGGCGUAAGCUGUGAGGAAGGUGGGGAUGACGUCAAAUCAGCACGGCCCUUACAUCCGGGGCGACACACGUGUUACAAUGGUGAGGACAGAGGGCAGCCACCUGGCGACAGGGCGCGAAUCCCGAUAAACCUCAUCUCAGUUCGGAUCGGAGUCUGCAACUCGACUCCGUGAAGCUGGAUUCGCUAGUAAUCGCGCAUCAGCCAUGGCG